UACGGGGGGGGCAAGCGUUGUUCGGAAUUACUGGGCGUAAAGGGCUCGUAGGCGGCCAACUAAGUCAGACAUGAAAUCCCUCGGCUUAACCGGGGAACUGCGUCUGAUACUGGAUGGCUUGAGUUUGGGAGAGGGAUGCGGAAUUCCAGGUGUAGCGGUGAAAUGCGCAGAUAUCUGGAGGAAUACCGGUGGCGAAGGCGGCAUCCUGGACCAUUACUGACGCUGAGGCGCGAAAGCUAGGGGAGCAAACGGG
rnacentral:rRNA from 1 species